UACAGAGGGUGCGAGCGUUAAUCGGAAUUACUGGGCGUAAAGCGCACGUAGGUGGCGACGUAAGUCGGGUGUGAAAGCCCCGGGCUCAACCUGGGAAUUGCAUUCGAGACUGCAUUGCUGGAGUACGGAAGAGGAAGGCGGAAUUCCCGGUGUAGCGGUGAAAUGCGUAGAUAUCGGGAAGAACACCAAUGGCGAAGGCAGCUCUCUGGGACGGUACUGACGCUGAGACGCGAAAGCGUGGGGAGCGAACAGG
rnacentral:rRNA from 1 species